AGGCUUGGUUCUGUACAAAAAGACAAAUAUCACAGGCAACUGAAAUCACAUCUUGUUAAGAUUGUACAUUCUUAUAGAAGGGGGCCAUCAAGUGUUCUCUUCUACCUGGCCCCCACCAGCCUGGUGUUCUGCAACCAGUCUGCAUAGCUCCUCUCCUCAGUUUAUCCUGUUACAGUGAAUAGUGAAAUAUAUAAUAAGGAGUCACAAAAUUGAUAUUUGGUCUACAAUACCAUUACUUCAAAGAGAAAAGACUCUUCAGGAUAUGGCAGAUGGAAAAGACUAAGCUGAACUGAAGAUCAUUACCCAGCAUCCUCAUUUGGCCUCUUUCUGGGAGAGAGGAGAUACCCCUUCCCCCCUCCAGCCCCUUCUCCAUGAAUUUUUUUAUGCAGUUUAUGGUACUUUUAAAGGAUUGCAACAACAGUGAUGUCUGGGCUGUUCAGCCAUUGAACUAUGAAGAAUAGAAAUAGAAAAUGAAAGUUUAGAACUCUAAUAUGGGCUGCUUCCUCUGAAAUAGUGCACAGAAUUUCCUAUUAUACAAAUUUAUUUUUGUGUGAUUUCAUUUUCAUCUGCUAAUCCCAUUUUAGUAGCUGGUUCCCCCAAUGAGAUGAAAUAUUCUCUACUUGGAAGGUGUGUUGAUGGGUAGACACAUUACAUUUAGUAGCUAGCAAUGUGGUGUUAAUGCUGUCUCUGAGUGAUACUGUUUUAUUGUCUGUGGUACAGGCUGGCAUGAGAAAAGUUUCAGUUCAACCUUUCCAGUGAAUAAUACAUAAAUGAGUUGGAAGAGUUCUCGAUUGCUUACAGUAAUUCUUUCAGAUUCUAAGAAAGUGGAUCAUAAUGUUAACCCUGGUGUAGGAUCAGGGUUUCCCAAGAAAAAAAUGAUAAUGAUUAGACAGAUACCUUUUGUAUUGUGUACUGUUUACAGAAAAAAAAAAAAAGACUUUUCCUUCAACAGAAUGAUAUUUGACCAUGUACUCCCUUAUGCCUUCUUUGAAAAGAAUUGUUGAGUCAAGAAAAUUGAGGCUAGCACUGACCUCACCUUUAGCUCCAUUUUUUAAUUUUUAUUUUUUUUAAUUAUUCUUAUUCUUAGCAUGAUAUUAGUUGAAUGCAUCUAUGGCAAAACUGUGCUUUUGUUUAUGCUUUGGCUUAUAGACUCAGAAAAUCAACUUUUAUAACCAAGGAAAACAUGUAAUUCAUGCCUCAGUGUAAAGAAAACACCAUAUUAAAAUCAAUAAGGAAGGAAAGAAUGGAAGCCAUAUGAUUUCACUUAAUCUUUCAGAAAAGUCUGUUUUUACAACAGAGUGGAUGCUUUUUUAAAACCUAACAUAAGGGAGAUAGAUAAUUCACACAAGACCUAUAGCCAUGAACUGUCGUAUCAGUCAGCAGCAAAAUGGAAACAAUCCAGUGCUGUCAGCCACUCCAGCCAUUCUUUUACAGUGAAUGGACAUUUUUUUUUUAAAGACUUAAAUUUGAAAAAUUGGACUAUGCUGUUCUGUGGUUCCUGUGGAUAAAAGAACAGACUCAAGCAGAACUUACUCCUGGAGAUUAAAUUGUAGAUGUUCCCCUUUUCAGCUAUCUGUCUAGAAGCAGAAAUACCUCUAAGCACAUUGGGAAAGACAGUUCCAUUUGUAAACCAAACAGGAGGAGGGAAAAAUGCUUUUGAGUAUGCAUUCAGGAUUAAGUUUUGAGAAUUUGCCUCUAAUUUCUUGGGGAAAAAAAAAAAAAAAGCUCUCUAUGACUGGCAGCCUUGUGAGAAACCCUGGGUGACAAAAAGGGCUGAUAGCAUCAUGUUGAGUCUUCUCAAAGAGAUGCAAGCCCAUGGGAGCAGGUGAAAUCACUGAUCUGCUUUGGAUAGUUAUCUGCUGGCCAACAGAUGGGGCAUGUCACACACAGCCUCUUCUGGCAGAAGCUUGUCUACUCUUCACUCUCAGUCACCUUGUGCUUCAAGUGCUCCAACCUCCAACUGCCCCCAAAUGCCAGUUUACCUGUUUUUAUGAAGGGUUUGCUAGCACUAAAAGCAAGUGCUGCUCAGGCUUGCUCUGUAAGGUUCUGCAGUGUAAAACCCUGUUUUGGGACUGCUAGUUGCAUCUUUUGUGAACUGGCAACAGAAUGGGGAUACAUAACAAAGUAGUGAUCAAAGGCAAAUACCUCACGUCAGUUCUGAUAGUUUCUUUUCCUCACUCUUCCUCAUAUUGAACAGUACUUUAGACUAUGGUCUCACCCAUUUCAGCCACAUUUGUAUAUUAGACAUAGCUUUGCCUGUAUGCUGAGCAGUGAUAUUUUGUGAAAUUUCAACACAACUCUUUACAGAGCAAUUUAUCAUUUGAAGUGAGUAAUGGCAGAACAGGACUCAUCUUAAACUGUGGUGAUGGCCUUUCUUUACUGAGCAAAGCAAUCCUGAUGAAAUAAUUUUCUUCCAUGUGCUCCAUAGGGUUAGGCUACCAUCUAAUAGACUUUUGAAAUAAGAGUUAUCAAAUGAAGAAUCUGAGCAAUUUCCUGAAAUUACGUGUCAUCUUAAAAUAGUGGAAGAGUAAAUAGCAGGAAUAGCCAAAGAAAAAUGUGCCAGCUAUUAGACUGAAACGGGACUCAAAAGACAGCCUCAGAUUAUUGCUAUCUGCAGAGAGUGGGGACAAAUUGUUCUUGUUUUGAUAAUGACUCUAGGAAAUGGGUUAUUUGUAGCAAUAUGAAGGCCCAUUUAACUUGGAAAUUAAGAGACUAGUGAAGUUAGGCAUAAAAUAGCUUUGGGCAGUAAAUUAUUUAAAGUAUGAAGGAAACUUCCUAAAUUAUUGUAGGAAAUUAAAACAUGGCAUUGCCUAUUAAAAGUGUGAAAAUGGGUAUAGACCUAAAGGGACCCCAAAUAAGCAGGUAUUUAAAUCCAUAAUCAUAUCCAAUUCAAAAGAUUUAUAGAACCUAGGAAUCAAUUUCCUUUCACUCCACAUUGCUUCUAAUGCCAGUAAACAGAACUUAGUGGUAAGGAAAAUUCCUGUCAAUUUUAAUUUCUUAUAGCUAAGUGUCUAGAAAUUACACAGUGCUGGCUCAGACCUGUAUCAUGGAUUUUACAGUGCUAGUAAUAUCUUGGUACAUACAUUACAUCACAUUUCUGUGUAGCUUUAAUCUGUUAUGCUGACACUUAAGCGAACUGUUGUCAAAGUCAUUGGACUGCAGGAGUUAAAAGCAGCUAUGCUGCCUUUUGAACUAAAGUGUUUUAAACUGGAGGUUUUUGAGAGGUGUAAAUUGACUGGCUUAUUUGGGUACAAUUGUGAAAAUGCUGAUGCACAGUCCGUCUACCCUAGAUAUUCUAGCUAACAGUAUUAACUCUGAUUGUAGACCUCCCUCUGACCAGUAAAAUCACUUAACACACAGCUAUUUGGAAAGUAGUUUCCUCUUAGGAUAUCACAGAAAAGCUUUUGUGUCAUGAUGGAAAAUUUAUAAUGUAAAAUAUGAAAUGUUCUCUGUGAGAUGGGAGAAAUAAAUAGGUUCUGGGUACAUGCAUUAGAUUUGGAGGUUUUCAGAAAGUGUUGUGAUUUUAAAUUCCCAGAGGUUUGGGGUUGAAAAAAACCUUUCUAUUAUUGAGUAAAAGAAUAUAGGAAAACUAGACAGAAAUUGCUGUAGAAAUACAUUGUUUGUAUUACCUUAAAUGGCAAUUUAACAGGUAUGUUUGGACCUUUAACAGAAACACAUGGUAUUUUCUAUAGAUCUUUAACAUUUGCUAACUAAUUCAGGUCAAGAGUACAGCAGUGCUUUUCUCCUGGCAGGUUGUUUGCUUGUUUGGUUGGUUUUUUAAUGUGAGCCAAAUAAAAGAGGAGGUGCAUAUGGCAUCCAUCAUCAUAUCAUGUUCAAGCAAUAGCGUAUUGACUUGUAGGUUCUCUCUCACAAAUGUCUGUUAGAAAGGAUAGAAAAAUGCAUAGGACUACAAUGAUGUUCAGGCUUAAAAUCACCUACUGAGUUAUUUAAAUAUUAAUUUAUUGUUCUCCAAAGAUCCUAAGAAGAAUCAAAAUAAUUUUCUAGAAAUUCUCUUCUUUGGUCAUAAAAUUUGUUGUUGUUGUUGUUGACCAUUUGCUAUUCUGAUGUAAUAAAGGAAUUGGUUUUUCA